rnacentral:tRNA from 1 species
AAAGCCCUAGUAAACUCAUUACAUAGCUCUGUCAGCGCUAAAUUACAAGACACCAAGAACUUGUGGGCUUUA